AUCUCAGUUUUUCCAAAAAACACUUUGACUUGUUGACUUUAGUGAUGACUCAGGUGAUAUUGGAGUUAUCUCUACUUCAGGUUUGGAAGAUAAAUAAAGGGUAAAUGAUUACACUGUUCCUAAUCAGAUGUUUUUCAGGGAAAAUGCUAGUCAAUGCAAGUAAUCACAUUCAUCUUUCCUGCCGGUUUCUGUCACCAAACUUUGAUAUCUUCAAAGCAAGGUGAGUGAGUGGCACCCUUCAGACAAGAAGGAAAAGGGCAGGUGAAAUCAUCAUCUUCUAAUGAGCCCCAUGCUGUGCUUGCUGAUGUCCUUGGACGUGGAGAUUUUCAGAAGAGCCAUGGCCUUACCAUUGAAGGCUACACAGAGGCCACUGGAGUGAAGUAACUCAUUGUACCUUAUCACAUUUAGGCACUUCUUUAUCCAUCAUGUGGAUUAUUGGGAUUGGAAUGAGUCCCUUCAACAAUGAGUCAAUAUUGAAGAUUCUAUGGAUCCAUUUAUUGACACAUAUUGGGUAUUCUCUGAACACAUUCAUUAACUUCAAAACUGUUUCUUGGACAUUGUGCUAGGUGCUAAGGAAACACAAAUGAAAGGUAGAAUUCGUGUCUUCCGGGUGCUCACUGUUGGGUCUGAUGCCAUACAACUGUUGUGAACAUGCAAGAGAAGUGUAGGCUGUGGUUCUUGCCCGCAGCCUGAGCAGCACAGUCCUGAGGUGGAAGCGUUUCCAGAUGGCAGCGGUGUCCAUGUCUUUUUUACUCUUGAUUCCCAGCACCUGCCUGCUGCACAGCACCACUGGGCCCCAAACCUGAGCACUGAUGGGGUGCUCUGGACCAGCCCAUCACUCAAUGCAUAGCUUCCCUCUGCAUCUGGUGUCUGCUUGAGGAUGUGGAGCUAUGUGGGCCUCUCCAGCACUCUGGCAGCCCAUGGAAUAUUGUCGCUUCGCACUGAUUACUAAGAGAUUUUCUCUGCCUGCCUUGUAACCUCACCAGCAAACCCAGAUUUUGCCCUCAGGAGCUACACAGUAUCCAGACUAAAUCCCUGGUCUCUAUAUUAUGCUUUAGGUAUUUAGAGACAUCUGUGCUCUAUCUUGUUCUCUUCUCUGGCCUCCAAGAACCCUAUUCUUUUAGAUACUUCUCAGGUGAAUUAGUUUUGAGACUACAUCAUUAUCCUAUUGACCAGGCAGGACUAGCACCAAUGAUUCAAUAAUAGGAUGAAUCAUCCUGUGAUUAGAAGUGAAAUUAAUUCUAUAGCUACCGAGGCUUAUCUGGACCCUCAGAAGGAUUAGCAGUGAAACCAACAAACAGGUCCUUCUUCUCCAUAGAUUGCCUUGAUGAGACUUAUUGGAUGUUGAGAGGGAAAAUGUAUGAGGCUAAUGGAAGACCCGUAAGAGGGGCUAAGCCUUCCACUCUACUUGGAUCUGGCAUGGCUCUUGGCUGUAGCAUUUCUUCACUCAUUGUAGUCUGAUCUCUUGAAUACACUUAAGGAUGUGGGGAGUCUUUGCCUCUCACGUUCUUGCUAGAAUAGUAGAAGGAGACAACUUGAAGUUGAGAGAGUGCAGAUGACAGGGCCAGGGCAGCUAAUUGGGUGAUUUUCUAUCUGUGCUGGGAUUAUGCAACAGGCAGCGAGAUCAUUUGGUGGGUUAAGCAACAGAUUGAGUUUCCAGAAUACAGAUUCUAAUGGAGACUGAGCCGUGGGAGGAUGGAUACUUGCAGGAAGGUUAGGGGAUUUGCACAGCCGGCAAGUGGCAGAGGCAGAAUUCUGAACAGGAUCUAAAUCCUGCCCUGUGUUCUGUGCCCCACAGUGCGACAACUCCUGCGUCACUCCAUCAGGGUGGGUUUCCCCAAACAGAAGCCUAGACUGGUUCAGGAAACAGUGCAAGUGCUGGCACUUAUAAAAUCACCUAGAAUCAUGCCAUAGUGACACAGAUGAGAGACAACAUAAAAAGAAAAAGGCAUUUUUCUUUUAAAAACCUCACCAUUUCUACCUUCAACUGGCUGUCCUGAAGUCUGCGUUUGAAAUUGUAUGUCUAUGAACAUGAUAUGACUGCCAUUAUUUAUGUUAACUCAGCAUAUCAUGAAUGACAUGCUAAUGUAUAUUUUGUUGCAUUCCUUGAUUUGCAUAAAUAUUGAGCUUUGACACUU